CCCUUAGAUGUUCUGGGCCGCACGCGCGCUACACUGAAGGGAUCAGCGUGUUUUCCCUUCCCGAGAGGGACGGGUAACCCGCUGAACCCCCUUCGUGGUAGGGAUCGGAGCUUGCAAUUGUUCUCCGUGAACCAGGAAUUCCCAGUAAGCGCAAGUCAUAAGCUUGCGUUGAUUACGUCCCUGCCCUUUGUACACACCGCCCGUCGCUACUGCCGAUUGAACGUUUUAGUGAGGUAUUUGGACUGGGCCUUGGGAGGUUUCGGCCUCCCUUGUUGCUCGGAAAGACUCCCAAACUUGAGCGUUUAGAGGAAGUAAAAGUCGUAACA
rnacentral:rRNA from 1 species